CUUUUCCUCAACAGCAAGUGCAAGAGGUACUUCCACAAUAGGCUGAAGCCCGCGAAGCUGUCUUGGACGGCGUUGUUCCGGAAACAGCACAAGAAGGACCUUCACGACACCGCAGUGAAGAAGAAGAGGAGGACCACGAACAAGCCAUACUCUAGGUCCAUCGUGGGAGCAUCGCUAGAGGUGAUUCAGAAGAAGAGGACGGAGAAGACGGAGGUGCGCGCCGCAGCUCGCGAG
rnacentral:lncRNA from 1 species